rnacentral:lncRNA from 1 species
AUAUGGUAAGGAUUCAACAAAUGGUAGCUAUAUAGAAUAUCCCCUCCCCAUAGGUCUGCAUUCUAUAAUAAACAUCAUCUCUUACUAAGGAAGGAAGGAAGGAUUCUCAUGAGAAAGUGAGGGACUCUAGGCUCCUUGGAAAGCAGCUAAGGAGAGCUCAAGUAUUUGAUCAUGAAAUGAUAUAAAAUUGUUAACUUUCUUUAGUGUCAUAAUAAUGUGGUUAUGUAGGAUAAUGUCUAUUUCUAAGAGAUAUGUGCUGAAAUAUUUAGGGCUUCGUUGCCUCUCCUCUCUCCACUCACUCUCCGCAGUCAGAGUUACAAGCUUAUAUGGUCAAAGACAAAAAUAAAAAAGAAAACGUAUAAAAUAACAAUAGAAAAAGUAAUACUUCUGGGAGAGGCGCCGCUGCGGCUCCGCGGAGCUUUCGUUCUUUUUUUAAUGCAGUUUCCCUUCCGCCACGUGAGUACCGCCUUUUGGCCAAGAGUUUAGCCGCGUCCUAGGGGAGCAGCAGGGACGGUCGGGGUCGCGGCCCCGGGCGGGGCUCUGAAGUGCCGCGUGCGCCAGGGACCCAGGGGACAAUGUUGGAGAGGUGGAAGGUCCCGAGCGAGCGCCUCUCCCGCUGCCCGCCAGAGUCAGGCUUCUGGUCCCUAUGGAGGAGAGGGCCGCUGGGCCUAGGGUCCUUGUGACCCACAGGUUCUAUUUAGCAUUUGAUCUUGGAGGUUUUGAGCUCCUUCACCUGUGAGUGUAGCGUCUUGUG